rnacentral:lncRNA from 1 species
CACUGCACUAGUAUUGCAAGAUUAUGUUAGCACACUAUAAGGAUAGGUGAAUAAACAGCCUGCGACAACAUCGGCUGAUCGUUUUACACUACGAAGCAUUAGUUACAAAAAUACUAUAUGAUUACCUGACGUCAAACAUUAUUCUUUUAAAAGAUUGGUAAAAGCUUUUCUUCAGGUUAUCAGGAGUGAAACUGGAACUGGGGACCAGCUUUUGCAUCGCUUUGUCUCACCUGAAUAAUCACAUAAAU